CAGGAACGGAGUUUCUGAGCUGCCAUCUGUGUUAUAUGCUCUCUGUCCAAGUGAUCAAUGCAGAUACAUUUGAUUUUCUUAACAAAGAGACAGUCUGUUCCAGGUGCAGAAGAAUCAAUCCCAAGGAUCUGCCACAUAAUUUUGGAGGUCCAAUGGCGACGGACUCCAUAUAAAUGGCACUUCCUCCUCGGCCCCAUCCCUAAGUGAUCCCGGAGUAAAUUUCUAUGCAUUAAAAUGACUGCCUCUUGAGACAGAUGAGUGAUAGAAGACAUGCGUUUCAUUAAGGCCCUGUACUGAGACAGAUAAUAUUAGAGACAGCUUUAAAUGCAUUAAUAUCCUUGAAUGAGUUUAGGAGGUUCCAGCUUCUGAUUAUGAACCCUCUGAAUUACCAUCAGCUGCCCUUUUUGCAUUUUGAGAAAUUGGAAUGUCCUCCCAUAAUCUUCUGCAAACUGAGAAUACCUGAGAAUAUUUGAGACAAAGACAUAGGAAACUAUUCAGACCAAGAGGUUGUAUUGGAAUUUAGGAACAGAUUAGGGAUAUUAGGUAUUCUGGUUAGACACUCUGCAAAGCUCAGAUCUUGAGCAGAGCUAAACCAAGGAUAUCAGCGUGGUUAGAGCUGAGGCUUUCAUUUUGGUGGGAUAGGUGAGAGUUAGGAUCUGCCUUUGAACUUCACUAAAACUCAACGGUGUUUGGAUCCUGAGAUUUUGUUUUCACUUAUCUCUGGUUUCAGU